GAUAAUCAUUUGUAGUAGCUCAAUGGUCAAAGGGAAUAAGCCUUUAAUUUGAAGAUUGAAAAUAAAAGAGAAAAUGUUGCACAAUUCAGGGAUCGAUCCCUGUUCGCGUGGAUGGAUGUAAUGUCUUCAGCCAGCGCGGAAAGAUGUACUAGCAUUCAUUUGGGGGUGCACUAUUAACUAUAUCUCAAUUUCUGAAGGUAUAUACACAUGUAUACGUAUAAUUUUUUUCGACGUUAAUGGGUGCACGUCCACCCCCACUAAUAGCUGUGGGUCCGCCUCUGCCUUGUAAGAGACUAAAAACCUUGAUUUGUGUACUGCAUGUUUGAUUGUUGGAUGUCGUAGCAUUGUUGUUGUUUAGACAGGACCAAAAUCCAUAUUUUGCAUCUUUCUAAUUCUUAAACUUGGAAGUUGUUCCUUGUCCAUAUUCAACAAGAUCUUUGCUUUAGUUGAUAAUUGUUGAUAAUUGAAAAAUAAUAAUUGUUAGUACCUGCAAAAGCAAAGACACAGUUAACUAAAAAAUCGGCAAGCUGAUUACCUUGUCUGUAAAUGUGUUGGACCACCACCUUUCUUCCCUUUAUUAGAUUUUGAAUCCUCCUUAUUUCAUUAGAAAUACCCCAUGGAAUCUCCCACUGAUUUGUAACAAAUUUAUGAACAGCCAAAGAAUCAGUUUCGAAGCAUAAAGACAUCAAAUUAUGCUUAAUACAAUAUUCCAAUCUCAAUCGUAAUGCCAAAGCUUCAGCCACUAAAUUGAUUUCAUUAGGAAUUCUUCUAAUUUUAGCAUGAAUUAACUCUCCACUGUGAUUCCUAACACAAAAAGCUUCUAAACUUGGGUCAGGAUUGCCCUUCACAUCAGCAUCGAAAUUACAUUUGUACUGAUUUAUAUUAGGAAAAUUCCACUUCACCACAACACUUCUCAGGGUAGGCCUAUAUUCUGAUAAAAAACUCACUAAAUCCAUCCAAGAAUCUGGUAUGUUUUUAAGCCAAAGAAAUAGACAUUUAGCUAGAUAUACUAGAUUUCUAGUUAUUUCCAACCUCAUACUCUAAAGAGAUCUUUUACUACCAUGUUUAAUACAGUUUCUUCUUUUUCAAAUUUGUCAAAGUAUAAACAUUGGUACAGCUCUGAAAAUAGGCUUCAAUUUAGGUACAUUAGAUGCAUUCCAUCAGUUUAGCACACUGUCUUUAGGAAUGGCAAUAGGGAGGUGUGGUGCGGGUAUUUUCAUAACCCGCGAAUCUGAUAACCGCACCGUACCACAUUUUUUUAAACCCGCAUAAAUUCGCUCCACACAAUACCCGUGCAAACCCGCACCGCACCAUAUUUUUUUAACUCUCAUAUUUAUUGAAAUCAAUUGAUUUUCCUUGUUUCGCAUUUUACUGAUCCAACUGCAGUUAGUAAGUCAAUGUUGUCAAUAUUUUCUUAUACGUGUGUAUAUCUGUCUGUAAUGGUAAAUGUAAUUUAUAGAUAUCGUCAUACUUCAUCAAAAUUUAUAGAUAUAUUCUGAUAUUUAUAUCGUAUUGCUGAAAAGGAACCCAAAUAUACAAAUAUAAUCUUAACUGUAAUGACUAAUGAUACAUCACUGCAUGUUGCUCUAGAGUUUUUUACUAUGUCUUGGUCGUGUGCCUGUAGCUAUAAAUUAGCAACAGAUGUGAUUGUUUUUUACUUUAAACAGAUUGAAAAAAUCAUGUACUCUCUCCGUCUCAUAUUAUGUAAAAAAAUGGCACAUAAAAUGGAACGGAAUAUAUAUAAUUUUAGGUAUAUUCACGUGAAUAAUACUAAUUUUUAGUUUUUUAUAAUUUAAACUUGCAUAUACCCGCAACCCACACCGCACCGCACCAUUUAAAAAAUACUCUUACUUUAACUCGCCCCGUACCCGCACCACACUGCAUAACUUAAAACUCGCACCGCAUAGCUUAAAACCCGCACCGCACCCACACCGCCCCAUUGCCAUCCCUAAUUUUCAUCUUCAUCUUUGCUGUAAUCUUCCCUCCAAUUCAGAAAAUGGCGAUAUAAGUAGCUUUCUUAUUGUUAAUCAAGCUCAAAUUAAGAAAUGCAUGAUGAAUUUUAGGCAUUUUCAUCUAAGGUGUUAAAAAUCUCACUAACACCAUGAAAUUAUCUCAAUCGAAUACUUCAACUCAUAUAGCUUCCAAUCCGAACUUAUUACAACAAGAUAAGUUUUAUUACUUUUACCCCUAAUUUAUUUCUCAGUUAACAUCAAAUUCUCAUCAAUUUCAUCUCUCUGACAGAUUGAGCAUAACUAAAAGCCGAUACCACUGCCUAAGAAGAUACCAUUUAAUGAUUAUUUGACCUUAAUCAGAAACUUGAGCUCCGUAGAUCUUAUUGAGGUAAUUAUGCUUUUAAUUAAAACUACCAUUGUAGAUGAUAAUUGUUGUUGUUGAGUGUCUGAACAGAUCUACAUCUUGUGCUAUGAAAGUUGUUAUUUGCAGAUCAUUAACUUUUUCUUGUACCUUGUAAGAGACCUAAAACCCUUGAUUUGUGUACUGCAUGUUUGAUUGUUGGAUGUCGUAGCAUUGUUGUUGUUUAGACAGGACCAAAAUCCAUAUUUUGCAUCUUUCUAAUUCUUAAACUUGGAAGUUGUUCCUUGUCCAUAUUCAACAAGAUCUUUGCUUUAGUUGAUAAUUGUUGAUAAUUGAAAAAUAAUAAUUGUUAGUAC
rnacentral:lncRNA from 1 species